rnacentral:tRNA from 1 species
ACUUGAGUAUAAUGUUCUACUGGUUAGAUGGCUUCACCCAAUGUCUCCCGUCCUUCUUCCAUCAGGGCGUGGGUUCAAAUCCCACCUCAUGUA